rnacentral:rRNA from 1 species
AGGAAUAUUGGGCAAUGCCCGCAAGGGUGACCCAGCAACGCCGCGUGGAGGAUGAAUGUCGUAAGAUUGUAAACUCCUGUUAGAGGGGAAGAAUAGUACCGGUUGGACCGGUAUAUGACUGUACCCUCAGAGAAAGCCCCGGCUAACUACGUGCCAGCAGCCGCGGUAAUACGUAGGGGGCAAGCGUUGUCCGGAUUUACUGGGUGUAAAGGGCGCGCAGGCGGGAUAAAAAGUCAGUGGUGAAAUCCUACAGCUUAACUGUAGAACUGCCUUUGAUACUUUUAUUCUUGAGUUCGGGAGAGAGAGACGGAAUUCCAGGUGUAGUGGUGAAAUACGUAGAUAUCUGGAAGAACACCAGUUGCGAAGGCGGUCUCUUGAUCCGACACUGACGCUGAGGCGCGAAAGCGUGGGGAGCAAACA